UUGGCUCAGGAUGAACGCUGGCGGCAGGCUUAAUACAUGCAAGUCGAGGGGCAGCAGCUUUAUAGCAAUAUAGAGGCUGGCGACCGGCAAACGGGUGCGGAACACGUACACAACCUUCCUUGAAUAGGGGGAUAGCCCAUAGAAAUGUGGAUUAAUACCCCGUAAUAUAGCGGUGUGGCAUCACACUGUUAUUAUAGUUUCGGCGAUUCGAGAUGGGUGUGCGGCUGAUUAGGUAGUUGGCGGGGUAAAGGCCCACCAAGCCUUCGAUCAGUAGCUGAUGUGAGAGCAUGAUCAGCCACACGGGCACUGAGACACGGGCCCGACUCCUACGGGAGGCAGCAGUGGGGAAUA
rnacentral:rRNA from 1 species